ACCGUGGUCCUCAAGUUUGAAAAAUUCCGGCAACCUCCCGGUUUUGUUUCUGCGGGGGAAGUAACAGGCGGAUUUUGUAGGGAAACGUAGCCAUACUCGUGUGUAACGUGCAGAGGUUCGUCUUUUAAGAGCAGACUGGGGAGGCUGACGAUACUGGACAACAGUGAGGGACAGAAUCUGAAGCGAUUCUGCUCAAUGCACAGGACUGUGCAUCAAGGUCAGCUUAUGUGAGUGGUAGGAUACAGCAGAAUUGAUGGUAAUUGUUUCUGAAGAAGUGAUAAUGGAUAGCACAGCACCUGCCUCAUUACUCUCUCACUUUUGGAUCACUCCCUUUGGAGGAAGUCAGCUGCCAUCUCAUGAGCAAGCCUGUGGAGGAGCCCACCUAGCGAGGACCUAGAGCCUUGUGCCAUUGGAUGUGCAAGUAAACCUAGAAGCAGAGCCUCGAGCCCCAGCAAAAGAAGGAAGAAAGAAAGAA